GGCAGCGUGGUGUAGUGGUUUGAGCGCUGGACUAUGACUCUGGAAGAUCAGGGUUCGAAUUCUGACUCAGCCG